rnacentral:tRNA from 2 species
GGAGGGAUGGCCGAGUGGUCGAUGGCGGUGGUCUUGAAAACCACUAAGGUGCAAGCCUUCGGGGGUUCGAAUCCCUCUCCCUCCGCCA